rnacentral:tRNA from 1 species
GCGGGUGUGGUGGAAUUGGUAGACACGCGGGAUUUAGGUUCCCGUGACGCAAGUCGUGAAGGUUCAAAUCCUUUCACCCGCACCA